UUAAGCGACUAAGCGUACACGGUGGAUGCCCUGGCAGUCAGAGGCGAUGAAGGACGUGCUAAUCUGCGAUAAGCGUCGGUAAGGUGAUAUGAACCGUUAUAACCGGCGAUUUCCGAAUGGGGAAACCCAGUGUGUUUCGACACACUAUCAUUAACUGAAUCCAUAGGUUAAUGAGGCGAACCGGGGGAACUGAAACAUCUAAGUACCCCGAGGAAAAGAAAUCAACCGAGAUUCCCCCAGUAGCGGCGAGCGAACGGGGAGCAGCCCAGAGCCUGAAUCAGUGUGUGUGUUAGUGGAAGCGUCUGGAAAGGCGCGCGAUACAGGGUGACAGCCCCGUACACAAAAAUGCACAUAUUGUGAGCUCGAUGAGUAGGGCGGGACACGUGGUAUCCUGUCUGAAUAUGGGGGGACCAUCCUCCAAGGCUAAAUACUCCUGACUGACCGAUAGUGAACCAGUACCGUGAGGGAAAGGCGAAAAGAACCCCGGCGAGGGGAGUGAAAAAGAACCUGAAACCGUGUACGUACAAGCAGUGGGAGCACGCUUAGGCGUGUGACUGCGUACCUUUUGUAUAAUGGGUCAGCGACUUAUAUUCUGUAGCAAGGUUAACCGAAUAGGGGAGCCGAAGGGAAACCGAGUCUUAACUGGGCGUUAAGUUGCAGGGUAUAGACCCGAAACCCGGUGAUCUAGCCAUGGGCAGGUUGAAGGUUGGGUAACACUAACUGGAGGACCGAACCGACUAAUGUUGAAAAAUUAGCGGAUGACUUGUGGCUGGGGGUGAAAGGCCAAUCAAACCGGGAGAUAGCUGGUUCUCCCCGAAAGCUAUUUAGGUAGCGCCUCGUGAAUUCAUCUCCGGGGGUAGAGCACUGUUUCGGCAAGGGGGUCAUCCCGACUUACCAACCCGAUGCAAACUGCGAAUACCGGAGAAUGUUAUCACGGGAGACACACGGCGGGUGCUAACGUCCGUCGUGAAGAGGGAAACAACCCAGACCGCCAGCUAAGGUCCCAAAGUCAUGGUUAAGUGGGAAACGAUGUGGGAAGGCCCAGACAGCCAGGAUGUUGGCUUAGAAGCAGCCAUCAUUUAAAGAAAGCGUAAUAGCUCACUGGUCGAGUCGGCCUGCGCGGAAGAUGUAACGGGGCUAAACCAUGCACCGAAGCUGCGGCAGCGACGCUGAUGCGUUGUUGGGUAGGGGAGCGUUCUGUAAGCCUGCGAAGGUGUGCUGUGAGGCAUGCUGGAGGUAUCAGAAGUGCGAAUGCUGACAUAAGUAACGAUAAAGCGGGUGAAAAGCCCGCUCGCCGGAAGACCAAGGGUUCCUGUCCAACGUUAAUCGGGGCAGGGUGAGUCGACCCCUAAGGCGAGGCCGAAAGGCGUAGUCGAUGGGAAACAGGUUAAUAUUCCUGUACUUGGUGUUACUGCGAAGGGGGGACGGAGAAGGCUAUGUUGGCCGGGCGACGGUUGUCCCGGUUUAAGCGUGUAGGCUGGUUUUCCAGGCAAAUCCGGAAAAUCAAGGCUGAGGCGUGAUGACGAGGCACUACGGUGCUGAAGCAACAAAUGCCCUGCUUCCAGGAAAAGCCUCUAAGCAUCAGGUAACAUCAAAUCGUACCCCAAACCGACACAGGUGGUCAGGUAGAGAAUACCAAGGCGCUUGAGAGAACUCGGGUGAAGGAACUAGGCAAAAUGGUGCCGUAACUUCGGGAGAAGGCACGCUGAUAUGUAGGUGAAGUCCCUUGCGGAUGGAGCUGAAAUCAGUCGAAGAUACCAGCUGGCUGCAACUGUUUAUUAAAAACACAGCACUGUGCAAACACGAAAGUGGACGUAUACGGUGUGACGCCUGCCCGGUGCCGGAAGGUUAAUUGAUGGGGUCAGCGCAAGCGAAGCUCUUGAUCGAAGCCCCGGUAAACGGCGGCCGUAACUAUAACGGUCCUAAGGUAGCGAAAUUCCUUGUCGGGUAAGUUCCGACCUGCACGAAUGGCGUAAUGAUGGCCAGGCUGUCUCCACCCGAGACUCAGUGAAAUUGAACUCGCUGUGAAGAUGCAGUGUACCCGCGGCAAGACGGAAAGACCCCGUGAACCUUUACUAUAGCUUGACACUGAACAUUGAGCCUUGAUGUGUAGGAUAGGUGGGAGGCUUUGAAGUGUGGACGCCAGUCUGCAUGGAGCCGGCCUUGAAAUACCACCCUUUAAUGUUUGAUGUUCUAACGUUGACCCGUAAUCCGGGUUGCGGACAGUGUCUGGUGGGUAGUUUGACUGGGGCGGUCUCCUCCUAAAGAGUAACGGAGGAGCACGAAGGUUGGCUAAUCCUGGUCGGACAUCAGGAGGUUAGUGCAAUGGCAUAAGCCAGCUUGACUGCGAGCGUGACGGCGCGAGCAGGUGCGAAAGCAGGUCAUAGUGAUCCGGUGGUUCUGAAUGGAAGGGCCAUCGCUCAACGGAUAAAAGGUACUCCGGGGAUAACAGGCUGAUACCGCCCAAGAGUUCAUAUCGACGGCGGUGUUUGGCACCUCGAUGUCGGCUCAUCACAUCCUGGGGCUGAAGUAGGUCCCAAGGGUAUGGCUGUUCGCCAUUUAAAGUGGUACGCGAGCUGGGUUUAGAACGUCGUGAGACAGUUCGGUCCCUAUCUGCCGUGGGCGCUGGAGAACUGAGGGGGGCUGCUCCUAGUACGAGAGGACCGGAGUGGACGCAUCACUGGUGUUCGGGUUGUCAUGCCAAUGGCACUGCCCGGUAGCUAAAUGCGGAAGAGAUAAGUGCUGAAAGCAUCUAAGCACGAAACUUGCCCCGAGAUGAGUUCUCCCUGACUCCUUGAGAGUCCUGAAGGAACGUUGAAGACGACGACGUUGAUAGGCCGGGUGUGUAAGCGCAGCGAUGCGUUGAGCUAACCGGUACUAAUGAACCGUGAGGCUUAACCUU
rnacentral:rRNA from 1 species